GAUGAAGAACGUAGCGAAAUGCGAUAAGUAGUGUGAAUUGCAGAAUUCAGUGAAUCAUCGAAUCUUUGAACGCACAUUGCGCCCUUUGGUAUUCCUUAGGGCAUGCCUGUUCGAGCGUCAUUUAAACCUUCAAGCUCAGCUUGGUGUUGGGUGACUGUCCGCUUCACCGCGGACUCGCCUCAAAAUUAUUGGCGGCCGGUACUUUGGCUCUCGAGCGCAGCAGAAACGCGUAACUCGAGGGCCUCGUGCUGGCUCCCAGAAGCUAUCUUCACAAUUUUGACCUCGGAUCAGGUAGGGAUACCCGCUGAACUUAAGCAUAUCAAUAAGCGGAAGA
rnacentral:misc_RNA from 1 species